GUACUACUCCCUCCGUCUCAUAUUAAGUGACUCAAAUUUGUCCAAAUAUGGAUGUAUCUAUGUAUAGAAAGCGUCUAGAUCCAUGUAAUAGAAAGUUAGUUAAUAUGAGACGGAGGGAGUACUAU
rnacentral:pre_miRNA from 1 species